UCGCGGCUUACCACCGGCAGUCCCCUUAGAGUGCCCAACUAAAUGAUGGCAACUAAGGGCGAGGGUUGCGCUCGUUGCGGGACUUAACCCAACAUCUCACGACACGAGCUGACGACAGCCAUGCAGCACCUGUGUUACGGCUCCCUUUCGGGCACCCUCACAUCUCUAUGAGGUUCCGUACAUGUCAAGGGUAGGUAAGGUUUUUCGCGUUGCGUCGAAUUGAACCACAUCAUCCACCGCUUGUGCGGGCCCCCGUCAAUUCCUUUGAGUUUCAGUCUUGCGACCGUACUCCCCAGGCGCAGAACUUAACGCGUUAGCUUCGUUACCAAGGGAGUUAAUCCCCGACAACCAGUUGACAUAGUUUAGGGCGUGGACUAC
rnacentral:misc_RNA from 1 species